CCUACGGGUGGCAGCAGUGAGGAAUAUUGGUCAAUGGACGAAAGUCUGAACCAGCCAAGUAGCGUGAAGGAUGACUGCCCUAUGGGUUGUAAACUUCUUUUAUAUGGGAAUAAAAUGUUCCACGUGUGGGAUUUUGUAUGUACCAUAUGAAUAAGGAUCGGCUAAAUCCGUGCCAGCAGCCGCGGUAAUACGGAGGAUCCGAGCGUUAUCCGGAUUUAUUGGGUUUAAAGGGAGCGUAGGUGGAUUGUUAAGUCAGUUGUGAAAGUUUGCGGCUCAACCGUAAAAUUGCAGUUGAAACUGGCAGUCUUGAGUACAGUAGAGGUGGGCGGAAUUCGUGGUGUAGCGGUGAAAUGCUUAGAUAUCACGAAGAACUCCGAUUGCGAAGGCAGUUCACUGGACUGCAACUGACACUGAGGCUCGAAAGUGUGGGUAUCAAACAGGAUUAGAUACCCCAGUAGUC
rnacentral:rRNA from 1 species